rnacentral:rRNA from 1 species
UGCAAGUCGAACGGCAGCGCGGGGGCUUCGGUCUCUGGCGGCGAGUGGCGGACGGGUGAGUAAUAUAUGGGAACGCGCCCGGCGGCGGGGGAUAACUCUGGGAAACCAGAGCUAAUACCGCAUGCGUUUCGCCUUUCGGGGCGAAAGAAAGCGGGGGACUUCUUCGGAGGCCUCGCACCGGCGGAGCGGCCCAUAUCCGAUUAGCUUGUUGGCGGGGUAACAGCCCACCAAGGCCGCGAUCGGUAGCUGGUCUGAGAGGACGGACAGCCACACCGGGACUGAGACACGGCCCGGACUCCUACGGGAGGCAGCAGUGGGGAAUAUUGGACAAUGGGGGCAACCCUGAUCCAGCAAUGCCGCGUGUGUGAAGAAGGCCUUCGGGUUGUAAAGCACUUUCGCGGGGGAAGAAAAAGCGAGGGGUAAUAUCUCUCGCGCCUGACGGUACCCCGAGAAGAAGCACCGGCUAACUACGUGCCAGCAGCCGCGGUAAUACGUAGGGUGCGAGCGUUAAUCGGAAUUACUGGGCGUAAAGCGUGCGCAGGCGGCCUGUCAAGUCGGGUGUGAAAUCCCCGGGCUCAACCCGGGAAUUGCGCUUGAAACCGGCGGGCUAGAGUACGGCAGAGGAAGGUGGAAUUCCGUGUGUAGCGGUGAAAUGCGUAGAUAUACGGAAGAACACUCAUGGCGAAGGCAUCCUUCUGGGCCGUAACUGACGCUCAUGCACGAAAGCGUG